rnacentral:rRNA from 1 species
AUUGAACGCUGGCGGCAGGCCUAACACAUGCAAGUCGAGCGGAGCGGCAGACGCGUGAGUAAUGCCUAGGACUCUGCACGGUAGUGGGGGAUAGCGUCCGGAACCGGGCGCUAAUACCGCAUCCUCUCAGAUGCGCCUAGGUCGGAUUAGCUAGUUGGUGGGGUAAAGGCCUACCACGGCGACGAUCCGUAACUGGUCUGAGAGGAUGAUCAGUCACACUGGAACUGAGACACGGUCCAGACUCCGACGGGAGGCAGCAGUGGGGAAUAUUGGACAAUGGGCGAAAGCCUGAUGCAGCCAUGCCGCGUGUGUGAAGAAGGUCUUCGGGUUGUAAAGCACUUUAAGUUGGGAGGCGUUACCAGCAGAAUAAGCACCGGCUAACUUCGUGCCAGCAGCCGCGGUAAUUC